CCGGCGGUGCUGGGACUGAGCAGGACAUGUUCUCAGCUGAUGGCAGACAGUGCUCCAGUGAGGACCCCAGGGAAGGGGUUCCUCUUUUGGAGUAUUUACAUUAUCAAACAUUGUGAAGACAAGUGUCUUGGGAUCUUGCAAGGCUGUAUUGCUAAGUCAACAAGCAAUGUAAGGCUUGGCAUGUGUGGAAGAUCUCAAAGGAAACACGUGGUAAAGAGGGAAGCAAUGACAAGAACUUCAGAGGCUAAGUCAUAGUUGGUGUGACUUCGGUGCUCAUCAGCAAAGAUGAAAGAGAAGCAGGCUUCAAAACAGAUAAUGAAUUUCUUCUAGCUCGUCUGGAGACUGAAGAGCCAUAAUUCUGAUUGAUCAGAUAUGGUCUGCUUCAGAGAGGCACCAGAUGUGAUCCAGAUUUUAAAUAGAUGCUACUACUGUCAAAAUGCAUUCGCUCUCUCCUGGUGUAACAAAGUGAAGUCCAUCUGUCUGGAGUUGUGCGCUUUUUUUAGUAGUAAUAACAGUUAACAUCAACAAUAAGCUUUGUCUCAUUAGUAUCACAUAAUCCCUACUACCAAGUCCCCAGUUUCUGGUCCCCAUAUUAUCUGCCAUGGAAAAAAUAAAGACCACAGCAGGAGCUAAGAAGGUCAGUGCAUUCUCAGGGUAAUCAGCUGUAGUAAAUUCAAUUCUGACAAGACAAGGCUUGCAAAUGUCUAGGGAAUUAAGGGAUCAUCUAUAAUUUCAUACGUUGAGUGGGAAAGUGUCCUUCCAAAUAUUUAUUAAUUACAGAUGAGGAUGCGUAUGGUGGUCAUCCUUGGAGAGAUUUCUUCUAAAGCAAAGCAACAAAAAUAGAUUUAACUGUUUGCUGCUUCUAAAGAAAAACUACUGAUCUUAGCAAUUGGCCUUGCAAUAGUUUCAGUCAAUAUUCUUUCUCUCCCAGUUUUUAUUGCUCUGUCUGUCUCAGCAACAGAUGCUUGUCAGCCUUUAUGAAACUUUUUGCAUAAAAGUUUCCCACUGUAAUCAAUGGAGAAGACUUUCCUUGGCUUUAGUCUGGCUCAGUGCCAUCUCUCCAGGUUUUGCAGUCCUUAAGAAGUAACAAGUAAAGAACAACAGACAAAAAAGCUUCGCAUUUAGAAUUGAACCUUUCACUUGAAGAUCUUGGAGCACUUCAGAAACCCUACUUACUCCCCUUUGAGGCCUGUAUUGUCCUUUCUGUUUUACAGAUGAGGAAGUUAAAGCACAGGGAGGUUAGUAGCUAACGUUUUCCAACUUGGGCAACUGAAGGUAAGCGCUUACAUCCACACCUUUCUUCCUCAAAAGGAAGUCCUCAACACUUUCAAAUUCAUUUUUGCACCCAUUUUUUGAAAGCGUGGGCUAUAAGGUUACCCAAGAACUUACCAAAAGUCACCAGAAUUGCUGACAAGGCCGUUAAAUUGUCUUAAAAAGAAGA